GAACCUCACGCAUGUCCCGCACGGAGGCAGAGAGUCACAGUGGCCUGAGCCCGUGCUGGCCUGGGACAAAAGGUUCUAACCUCUAAGUCUGUCCAGGGGCUGCUACAUAAGGUCCUGGCAAAAAGCGUGUGGGGGCCACUUGGGUUAUGAUCAAAGCCCUUACUCUUUCAUCUUUCUCCAAACCCCAAUCCCCCCGCCUCCAUGAAGCCCUCCUGGACUUCGGGGAGAGCGGGCCCCUUGCUUCCUGGGCUGCAGUCACCCGGGCCGGGCCUUCCUCUUCACAUGUGAUGCCCCUGCCUUGGAUCAAAUCUGUGGAGGCCGGGGUGCCGGAGGCUCCGUUGCUUAAGCUUCCGACUUCGGCUCAGGUCAUGAUCUCAGGGUUGUGGGUUCGAGCCCUGCGUGGGCUCCAUGUUGAGCGUGAAGCCUACUUAAAAACAAAACAAAACUGGAGGCCAAGUGGAUAGUGUCCGUUUGUGAAUCAGCUGUGGUCACACAACAGGUGGCCCGUAGGGGCCAGGGGUCACCCACAGGGUCCUCCCGAAGACAUUCCAGCUCAGUCUUCCAAGAAGUACUGCCGGCCACGUAAACCCGGGGGUGCUGCUGCUUCCGAGGGGCCUCCUCCCCGCGAGCUCCGUGUGUCUUCACCCGGGACGGUCCUGGCGGCCAAGGACCGCGUCCUGUUCUAAGGCCUUUUGAAAAGACUGAGACUGAAAGUUGAAACCCAGCUCAGCACGGUCACCUCCGCGGCCACGGAGGCCACACCACCUCUGGUCACACGUGAGGUGUGAAUCACUGAUGAGCACCUGUUAUCUGUGGGAGCACCGCCGGGCGGGGACUUCCAAGGCCGGCAGCAAGUUCAGAGCUUGGCCGGAUGAGGGCCUCCGAGCCCCCAGGCACACAAAGGUUUGUGGGUACCUCCCCACGUUCAUUGUUGAAAAUAAAGCCUUAACCUCCAUGAGGAAGUGAGA